GGUUGUGGCUCAGUGGUGGCGCACUUGCCUAGCAUGUGUGAGGCACUGGGUUCGAUUCUCAGCACCA
rnacentral:tRNA from 1 species